GUGAUUCAGGAUAGACUUCGCACGCAGCUAGUGAGGUUCUAACCGAGGCGCGUCUAUUGCUGGUUGAAAAACUAUUUCCUAAACCCCCUUUUCGGUCCUCGGUUCGCCCUUGGCCGUUGAGAAUUUUUUGAAGGGCUCCCUUUCUUGGGGUAAAGCC
rnacentral:snRNA from 1 species